AGCAGCCGCGGUAAUUCCAGCUCCAAUAGCGUAUAUUAAAGUUGUUGCAGUUAAAAAGCUCGUAGUUGAAUUUCGGGAUCAGUACGCUGGUCGUACCUUCGGUACGUACUGGUGUCACUGAUUCCUCCCUUCUGAAGAACCGUCAUGCCAUUCAGUUGGUGUGGCAGGGAAUCAGGACUGUUACUUUGAAAAAAUUAGAGUGUUUAAAGCAGGCUCGCGCUUGAAUACAUUAGCAUGGAAUAAUGAAAUAGGUCGCUUGAUCCUAUUUUGUUGGUUAUUUUGUUGGUUUCUAGGAUCGACGUAAUGAUUAAUAGGGAUAGUUGGGGGCAUUAGUAUUCAAUUGUCAGAGGUGAAAUUCUUGGAUUUAUUGAAGACUAACUACUGCGAAAGCAUUUGCCAAGGAUGUUUUCAUUAAUCAAGAACGAAAGUUAGGGGAUCGAAGACGAUCAGAUACCGUCGUAGUCUUAACCAUAAACUAUGCCGACUAGGGAUCGGAUGAUGUUAAUUUUAUUAAUGACUCAUUCGGCGCCUUACG
rnacentral:rRNA from 1 species